rnacentral:lncRNA from 1 species
CAAGCCAUUGCCUUUUCUAUCAGAUUUUGCCUCGGUAUAAUCAUAAGAUUGUAGUAGAUCCAGCAAUUGAACCUACUUUGAAGUUAAAACUGGUUUCUAUUAACAAAAAUUUUUGAAAUAAUAUUUUUUAUUUUUUCAACUCAACGGGUUGAGUUCUUCUACUUGUGACUUGGAGCUCAUGGGUUCGAACCAUAGAAAAUCAGUGGAAAAAUUGCUUAUAUCUUCCAGAACCCUACAAACUUGGGAACUGGGUCGUCUUUAUUCAGCUUUCAAAGUUUUCUUAUACUUUUUUAUUUUUUCCUCCUUGAAUGAUAAUUUCCGACAGGAAACUUUGGGUUAUGUGGAUAUAAACCUAGCUGAUGUGGUUAACAACAAGAGAAUCAACGAGAAGUAUCAUCUUAUCGACUCGAGGAAUGGUCGGGUUCAAAUAGAAUUACAGUGGAGAACUUCUUAAAAAAAAUGUUGCACUUGGGUAAGUAUUUUACAGUGGAGAACUUCGUAAAAAAAAAAAAUGCUGCGAUUGGGUAAGUAUUUCCAGUGGAAAACAUUCAGUUGUGCCUGGCUUCUUUUGAUGGUGAAUUAAUGCAGAGUACCAUACUCUGUUUUCUGAACCGACUCUGUAAUUCACUGUAAGAAUCAUGUAAAAAUGUAAUUUUUCUGACACCUGUUCCGAGGGUCAGGGAAAUCCGGCAUUGUUUUGUCAUAUAAAGGAAAUAAAUGACUUUUUUCUUUUUGGUGUAGAAUUCUCUCUUCGGACCAGAGGGAAAAGUUCCCCGUCUUUUUCAUUUGUGUCCGCAAGUGAGGGGAAUUAUUUCUGUCAUUGAACUUCGACAAUAAAAUUUCCUUUAAAAAAAUGUUCUAUUUAACUUUUCCUUUUGGUUGAGUAAUUAAAAAAUAGUAGAGAAUUUUAAUGGAAAAACUCUGCAACUGAACUCUACAAAAUAGAAGAUUUUCAUUAAUAAAUUAUACCUAAUUAUAGACUAAGUUGUAAGUAGUAAUAAGCUCGUUUGAAAAAUAUAAAAUUUCCAACAUUAUGAACUAUUACUAAAAAGAAUUGGUAACUCUAAUCAUAUUCUUGUUUUAUUUUAUUCAAAAUACUCUGUUAUAUAUAUAUAUAUAUAUAUAUAUAUAUAUAUGUGGGACAAUGAAAUACCAAAUGAUACUGAAGAUCCAAAGGCUGUAGAAAAGGCUCCUGAAGGAACACCUACUGGUGGUGGCUUGUUUGUGGUUAUCGUACAUGAAGCUCAAGACGUGGAAGGAAAGCAUCAUACAAAUCCUUAUGUGAGAUUACUUUUCAGAGGGGAGGAGAGAAAAACUAAGGUAAGCUUGAAGCAGAACCCUUUUAAGAAUGAAGUUUACCUUAACAGAGUUGCAAUUUUUUAACAUUUGCUAGUGCAGGCAGACUCAGGUUCUACAUGAGUAGCUUCUUUUAGGAAAUAAGUUGCUGAAACCUCAAAGUAUUUUAAUACAUACGAUGAUGAUUUAACUUUUUUAAAGUUCGGAUGAUUAAAAAAACUGCUACAUAUUGUCAGCCCAUUAAUUCUUGUAUUCCACAUCGAUACAGCUUGUGAAGAAAAACAGAGAUCCAAGAUGGGAGGAGGAUUUUCAGUUCAUGCUAGAGGAGCCACCCACAAAUGAUAAACUUCAUGUGGAAGUUUGUAGUGCCUCCACAAGGAUGGGUCUUCUCCAUCCCAAGGUACGCAAGCCAUUGCCUUUUCUAUCAGAUUUUGCCUCGGUAUAAUCAUAAGAUUGUAGUAGAUCCAGCAAUUGAACCUACUUUGAAGUUAAAACUGGUUUCUAUUAACAAAAAUUUUUGAAAUAAUAUUUUUUAUUUUUUCAACUCAACGGGUUGAGUUCUUCUACUUGUGACUUGGAGCUCAUGGGUUCGAACCAUAGAAAAUCAGUGGAAAAAUUGCUUAUAUCUUCCAGAACCCUACAAACUUGGGAACUGGGUCGUCUUUAUUCAGCUUUCAAAGUUUUCUUAUACUUUUUUAUUUUUUCCUCCUUGAAUGAUAAUUUCCGACAGGAAACUUUGGGUUAUGUGGAUAUAAACCUAGCUGAUGUGGUUAACAACAAGAGAAUCAACGAGAAGUAUCAUCUUAUCGACUCGAGGAAUGGUCGGGUUCAAAUAGAAUUACAGUGGAGAACUUCUUAAAAAAAAUGUUGCACUUGGGUAAGUAUUUUACAGUGGAGAACUUCGUAAAAAAAAAAAAUGCUGCGAUUGGGUAAGUAUUUCCAGUGGAAAACAUUCAGUUGUGCCUGGCUUCUUUUGAUGGUGAAUUAAUGCAGAGUACCAUACUCUGUUUUCUGAACCGAC